GUGCUCGCUUUGACUGCACAUAUGCUAUCAUUGGAACGAUACAGAGAAGAUUAGCAUGGCCCUUGGAUGACACACAAAUUCGUUAAGUGUUCUGUAUUUUU
rnacentral:snRNA from 1 species